CUUUUUCUGUACAGGCAGUCCAGUUAUGGAAUGCGUUGCCACUCAACAUCAAAAAAGCACAAUCACUUAUCUCCUUUAAAAAGUUAGAAAGAGGAGGCAG